rnacentral:rRNA from 1 species
UAGGGAAUCUUCGGCAAUGGACGAAAGUCUGACCGAGCAACGCCGCGUGAGCGAAGAAGGUUUUCGGAUCGUGAAACUCUGUUGUUAGAGAAGAACAAGGGUGAGAGUAACUGUUCACCCCUUGACGGUAUCUAACCAGAAAGCCACGGCUAACUACGUGCCAG